rnacentral:rRNA from 1 species
GACGAACGCUGGCGGCGUGGAUUAGGCAUGCAAGUCGGACGGUAGGGCUUUAUCGUAAGAUAGAGUUUGAGAGUGGCGAACGGGUGAGUAACACGUAGGAAUCUACCCUUAAGACGGGGACAACCCAGGGAAACUUGGGCUAAUACCGGAUGAGAGUGCGAGAGAUUGCAUUUAAAAGGAUGGCGAAAGUUGUCGCUUAGGGAUGAGCCUGCGGUCUAUUAGUUAGUUGGUGAGGUAAGGGCUCACCAAGGCGAUGAUAGAUAGGCGGCCUUAACGGGUGGUCGCCCACACUGGGAUUGAGAUACGGCCCAGACUCCUACGGGAGGCAGCAGUCGAGAAUAGUCUACAAUGGCCGGAAGGCUGAUAGUGCGACGCCGCGUGAACGAGGGAGCCCUCGGGUGUAAGUUCUUUCUAUACGAGCAGUGCUAUAUAUAUGGAUAGUAUAGUAUAGAGGAGUAGUAGUAUAGGAAUAAGACAACGGCUAACUCCGUGCCAGCAGCCGAC